GAAGAAGAAGAAGAAGAAGAAGAAGAAGAAGAAGAAGAAGAAACUUCAAGUGCUUUUGAAUUCCCUUAGUGCAAUAUUUCCUGGCAAAGUAAAAUGCACCUUGAAAAAGUAUGUAGCUUUUCUCUGACCUGGGGGAACUGGCUUACAGCCAGAGAGGGUGGAAAGUCAAACACCUUCAAGAAAAAGUGUUUCCUUUUAUCGGGAAACCAUUUCUGGUGAUCACAGGGAGAAUCAACAUUUUCAACACAAAAUUAUUGUUCACCUCCUUUAAAUUAGAAAUGUGCCAUAUGGCAUUUUUAAAGUAGAAUUUAACAUUACUUAUUUAUAUAUCUGGCAAGUAGGUAUAUAAAUGGUAUACACUAAUGCUAAAAUUCCCAAAACUUUGGGAGCUCUUGCAGUAGACAAACAAGAGCCCUAAAAUAUGGAAUUAACUGAAUGGAGGCAAGGAGGAUGUCCUGAAAAGGAACCCUCUAUCCUGGGCAAAGGAAGAUGCAACGAGAUCAACAAACUGUCCCAUAAGUGGGUUUUUAAGUUCACAGAUCAGAAAAUUUCCAAUUAAUGGGGGGAAAAAAGCUUAAAUCUAGCCAUCACUGAACAAUAACAACAUUGUUACUGAUUUGAGAUUUCAGCUAUUUUAUAAGAAAAUAUAUUAAGAAUUGAAUUGGUGAAAUCUUACCUUAUUCCAACUCCAGAGUGAUAUUCUGAAGUGGGGAAAUGUAAUAUUAAAAAAAAAUAGUAGUGGGGAGGUGGACAAGAUGGCUGAUUUGAAGCCUCCAGUGAUGGUCCUUUCCAUGGGAGCACCAAAUUGAACACUAUCCACACAAAAAAGCAUAGGACCUAAAAGUCAGGUGAGAGAAACAGUACCUGUGUCUACCUUCAUAUCACCAAAACAGGCACUGAAGAGGGUGGGAAAGACAGUCUUGAAUUGCUGAUACACUUUUCUCCCAUUCCCCAGUAAUGGCUGUGUGACACAGACACAGAAUCUGUGUGCUUGCAGGAGGGAGAGUAAAGUGAUUGUGGGAUUUGGUAUUGGAACUCAGUGCUGCCCUGUCACAGCAGAAAGCAACAUAGGCAGAUCUCAGUCAGUGACCACGGAGGGAGCAUUGAGCCCUAGCCAGAGGGGCAUCACUCAUCCCAGCAUUUGGAACUUGAGUUCUGGCAAGCCUCACUACCAUGGGCUAAAGUGCUCUGGGGCUCUAAAUAAACUUGAAAGGCAGUCUAGGCCACCAGGACUGCAAUUUUUGGGCAAUUCCUGAUGCUGUGCUGGGCUCAGAGCCAAUGGACUUUGGG
rnacentral:lncRNA from 1 species